AAUGAACGCUGGCGGCAUGCCUAACACAUGCAAGUCGAACGAGAUCUUCGGAUCUAGUGGCGCACGGGUGCGUAACGCGUGGGAAUCUACCCUUGGGUUCGGAAUAACAGCGAGAAAUUGCUGCUAAUACCGGAUGAUGACGUAAGUCCAAAGAUUUAUCGCCUAGGGAUGAGCCCGCGUAGGAUUAGGUAGUUGGUGUGGUAAAGGCGCACCAAGCCUACGACCUUAGCUGGUCUGAGAGGAUGAUCAGCCACACUGGGACUGAGACACGGCCCAGACUCCUACGGGAGGCAGCAGUGGGGAAUAUUGGACAAUGGGCGAAAGCCUGAUCCAGCAAUGCCGCGUGAGUGAUGAAGGCCUUAGGGUUGUAAAGCUCUUUACCCGGGAAGAUAAUGACUGUA
rnacentral:rRNA from 1 species